CAUACCGUAAACGAUGAUUACUAGGUGUUGGGGGAUUGACCCCCUCAGUGCCGCAGUUAACACAAUAAGUAAUCCACCUGGGGAGUACGACCGCAAGGUUGAAACUCAAAGGAAUUGACGGGGGCCCGCACAAGCAGUGGAGUAUGUGGUUUAAUUCGAAGCAACGCGAAGAACCUUACCAGGUCUUGACAUCCUUUGGCGACAUAAGAGAUUAUGUUUUCCUUCGGGACAAAGAGACAGGUGG
rnacentral:rRNA from 1 species